rnacentral:rRNA from 1 species
CCUACGGGUGGCAGCAGUGGGGAAUAUUGGGCAAUGGAGGCAACUCUGACCCAGCAACGCCGCGUGAAUGAUGAAGGUCUUCGGAUUGUAAAGUUCUGUGAUGGGGGAUGAACACAAUGACGGUACCACAAUAGCAAGCCACGGUUAACUACGUGCCAGCAGCCGCGGUAAUACGUAGGUGGCAAGCGUUAACCGGAAUGACUGGGCGUAAAGGGUGCGUAGGUGGUUUAGUAAGUUGGCGGUGUAAUUCCGGGGCUCAACCUCGGCGCUACCGCCAAAACUAGUAGACUAGAGUGCGGGAGAGGUAAGUAGAAUUCCUAGUGUAGCGGUGGAAUGCGUAGAUAUUAGGAGGAACAUCAGGGGCGAAGGCGACUUACUGGACUAUAACUGACACUGAGGCGCGAAAGCGUGGGGAGCAAACAGGAUUAGAUACCCGUGUAGUC